GAUCACUGUGUGCCUGAGGCCUUUCAAGGCUGUGCUGCAUCUUGUCAGUCACACCUCCGGCUCCUGCUGAGAGAUGGCAGCUCUGCUGUCCAUGCCCUGACACUGUCACAACCUGCUGGGAUUGCUGCUUUUGUAAGACACUCCUGUUCAAAAAUUUCUACAGGGCCUCCAGUGCGACUGAGAAGCAUGUUAGCAGGCUGGCUUCAGCUUUUUGUUCAACACUGUAUCAGCACAUGGGAACCUCUGCCUCACUGAUGUGUUCUGUCAUGUAGCAGUGCUAAAUACAGACUCUGAUGGCUUUAUUAAUAGCAGCCCUAUUAUUUUAACAUGAUGUUCCACCAACUCCUUGGACUGGGGACAAUAGGAAAUGGCACUUACACGUUUAAAUCUGCAGCACACUGUGAACUGUUUGAAUCUGCAUGAUUCAUUGUCAGACAGUGGUAUGUCAGGCACUGCAGGCAAAAGAAAAUAGGCUGCAUACGCGUGCUCUAUAUGUGCUCUACACGUAAGCAGUGUGAAAUGCACCCUGCCCUCCUGUUGACUGAAGAAGCCAUAAAUGAGCUCUGCCUAUCCUUUAGGGUGUUCUUGAUAGGAUCUUGGGAAUUGCCAGCCUGGUGCUUUUAACCAUGACCCCAGACAGUGCUGGGAGC